ACGGGGUGCAGCAGGCGCGAAACCUUUACAAUGCGAGCAAUCGUGAUAAGGGAACCCCGAGUGCCUGAAACCAGGCUGUUCAGGUGUUUAAAACGCACCUGGAGAAAGGGCCGGGCAAGACCGGUGCCAGCCGCCGCGGUAAUACCGGCGGCUCGAGUGGUGGCCGCUAUUAUUGGGCUUAAAGCGUUCGUAGCUGGGUUGUUAAGUCUCUUGGGAAAUCUCACGGCUCAACCGUGAGGCAUCCAAGAGAUACUGGCAAUCUUGGGACCGGGAGAGGUGAGAGGUACUCCAGGGGUAGGAGUGAAAUCCUGUAAUCCUUGGGGGACCACCGGUGGCGAAGGCGUCUCACCAGAACGGCUCCGACAGUGAGGGACGAAAGCUGGGGGAGCAAACCGGAUUAGAUACCCGGGUAGUCCCAGCCGUAAACGAUGCACGUUAGGUGUUUCGGUGACCACGAGUCACCGAUGUGCCGAAGGGAAACCGUAAAACGUGCCGCCUGGGAAGUACGGUCGCAAGGCUGAAACUUAAAGGAAUUGGCGGGGGAG
rnacentral:rRNA from 1 species